UCCAGUUUGGCACCGGCAGUCUCCCUAGAGUUCCCGGCAUCACCCGCUGGCAACAUAGAACGUGGGUUGCGCUCGUUGCGGGACUUAACCCAACAUCUCACGACACGAGCUGACGACAGCCAUGCACCACCUGCACACCAGCAAAAGGGCCCCCAUCUCUGGAGGUUUCCGGUGUAUGUCAAACCCAGGUAAGGUUCUUCGCGUUGCAUCGAAUUAAUCCACAUGCUCCGCCGCUUGUGCGGGCCCCCGUCAAUUCCUUUGAGUUUCAGCCUUGCGGCCGUACUCCCCAGGCGGAGUGCUUAAUGCGUUAGCUGCAGCACUAAGGGGCGGAAACCCCCUAACACUUAGCACUCAUCGUUUACGGCGUGGACUAC
rnacentral:misc_RNA from 1 species